GGCCAAAGAACAUUCUGCUACUUAGACAGCCGGUGAGCUACGCCGCCUGAUUUUAAGAAAGGUGACCAAGACAUAUAGGGAAGAAAUUAAGGCCAAAGUCAUCCGAGGUCAGUGAUGGAUGGGGAUUUCAUUCAUUGCACGGAUGUUUCUCAAGCAUCUGCUGGGUGCCGGGCCCUGUCCCGGACAGUGGGAGACAGCGGCGAGCAGAGGCAAGUCCCGGCCUCCGUGAAGCUCCAUCCUCUGUCUGCGUCCAAAGUGGGUUCUCUGCCUCUCACGCCCCAGGCCAGGUCUGCAGGCUUCUCCCAUCACGCGGGCUGAGGCUUUAAGUGGUGAGCAGCUCUGUCUUGUGCAUGGACAGUCAAAUCCGUGGCCGGAAUUUCCCCUGCCUCUCUGCCUCUGCAUCUGAAGUUAUACCACAGCUACUCAUUCCCAUGGAUUCGAAGGCUUUUCCAUUUGGGACCCCUCCUCUUUCUCCACUCACCGUGCUCUGCCUUGGCAAAGGCUGGCAGGCCUCCGGGCUCCAUGAUUGCCAUCUUCGUCUUCCAUGGUUGUCUGACUCAUGGUGCUGCCAGAGAGAACUACACGAAAUGCACAUCUGGUCUGGUCCUCACCCCUGCUUAAGACCCUCCAUGGCUCCCAGCUGCCCUCAGGAUAAAGCCUGCACUCUCCAACCUGGCCUGCCAGGCCUAUUCUCAUGUGGGAUCCUCCUUGCCUCCAUCGUCACCUCAUUUAUCUUCUCUUUUCUCUCUCUUGCGCACCACAGUCCGUCCCUAGUGACUUACUGCAGUUGUUUCAUUAGUCCACAAGCAUUAAUUGAGCACCCACUGUGUGCUGUGUGCAGUGCCAGCAUGCCAGAAUAUAAAGAAGAGUAAGAGCCAUCCCUGAUCUUUAGAAGCCUGCAGCUCGGAGUGGAGACAGAGGAGCAGAGGGACCAUUGUGCCUCCCGGCCAUGGCUGAGUUCUUGGUAACCCCAUUCAGGAGGCCCACCGCAGAGUGAACCUGUAGCUGUCCUGACUGCCCCAUGUUAGGAGGGAGUAAAGGUGCUCCCAUCGGUCCCCGGAACCUGGAGCCAAACCCAUGGGAAUUCAUGGACUCAUUCCCUGUCUCCUUCUCUGAGAUCCUACUGCCAGGUUGCUGUGGGUUUACAGUUGAAGGCGGCCCUCUCCACUCCGCUGCCUUCUCGGAGGUCUGGCAGACGCUCUGGUUACCCCGGUGUCACCAGCCUAGAGCACCGCAGUAUCCCUGCGGCUCUCAUCUUCCUAAAUGGCUCCUUCGUCACAUGCCCUCCCUUUGACUCCCUCUGAGGGGGCCUCACUGCUUUGCUGCUGGAACCCUGACCGACACAGUCCUAAACAAGACAGAGCUCACACUAACAGAGUGUUCCAGUGGACUUCAAGUCGGCGUGUGGAGAGACAGACAACAGGCACCUUUGUAAAGGUAGCGUAUAAUUUG
rnacentral:lncRNA from 1 species